UACAGAGGUCUCAAGCGUUGUUCGGAUUCAUUGGGCGUAAAGGGCGCGUAGGCUGCGGGGCAAGUCGGGUGUGAAAUCUCAGAGCUCAACUCUGAAACUGCACUCGAUACUGCUUUGCUGGAGGACUGGAGAGGAGAUUGGAAUUCACGGUGUAGCAGUGAAAUGCGUAGAUAUCGUGAGGAAGACCAGUGGCGAAGGCGGGUCUCUGGACAGUUCCUGACGCUGAGGCACGAAGGUCAGGGGAGCAAACGGG
rnacentral:rRNA from 1 species